GUGCCAGCGCCGCGGUAAUACCGGCAGCCCGAGUGAUGGCCGAUCUUAUUUGGCCUAAAGCGUCCGUAGCUGGCCGCACAAGUCCGUCGGGAAAUCCGCCCGCUCAACGGGCGGCCGUCCGGCGGAACCUGUGUGGCCUGGGACCGGGAGGCCUGAGGGGUACGUCCGGGGUAGGAGUGAAAUCCCGUAAUCCUGGACGGACCGCCGAUGGCGAAAGCACGUCGCGAAGACGGAUCCGACAGUGAGGGACGAAAGCUAGGGUCUCGAACCGGAUUAGAAACCCCAGUAGUCC
rnacentral:rRNA from 1 species